UACGGGGGGAGCAAGCGUGGUUCGGAUUUACUGGGCGUAAAGGGCGCGUAGGCGGCCACCGCAAGUCGGUUGUGAAAUCUCUGGGCUUAACCCAGAAAGGUCAACCGAUACUGCGGGGCUAGAGUGCAGAAGGGGCAACUGGAAUUCUCGGUGUAGCGGUGAAAUGCGUAGAUAUCGAGAGGAACACCUGCGGCGAAGGCGGGUUGCUGGGCUGACACUGACGCUGAAGCGCGAAAGCUAGGGGAGCGAACGGG
rnacentral:rRNA from 1 species